rnacentral:rRNA from 1 species
CGGCGGACGGGUGAGUAACGCGUGGGUAACCUGCCUCACACAGGGGGAUAACAGUUGGAAACGGCUGCUAAUACCGCAUAAGCGCACAGUACCGCAUGGUACGGUGUGAAAAACUCCGGUGGUAUGAGAUGGACCCGCGUCUGAUUAGGUAGUUGGUGGGGUAACGGCCUACCAAGCCGACGAUCAGUAGCCGACCUGAGAGGGUGACCGGCCACAUUGGGACUGAGACACGGCCCAA